GUGACGAGCCAUGUUUGGGAAAAGAAACAUUUCAUGUCAGCUUGAUGAAGACUACAGGAUAAGGAUCCGUAAGCACAAUGUGGAGGUUGACAAAAGCAGGCACAUCCUAUCUAAAAUAAUAGACUAUGUCAAGUUCUGUGGUGUGUCAGGCCCUUUAGCUCUGCUUAGUGGCAGUCUCUCCCUUCCCCCCUCCUUUCCCUCCUGUUUCCUUUUUUCCCCAGGUGAGCGUGAGUGAGGUGUCCUCCGCCAUAAAAGCCUAACUUCAGUCACAACUCGGAGCCGGACCGUUGUAUAACACAAUCUCAGACCAACUCUGCCUGCUCUGUCUGAAGCUUCGGCUGAUCCUGCACUUACUAUGGAAUUCCUUCAGCCACGCUGCACACCUCCUCAGCCUCCCUUCCCUCAAGACUUUUUUGGACUGUCAGCCAAGGUUCCCUGUUCUCUCUCUGGGUUAGCCUUGUAGUGUAGAGAGUUUUUAGUUGUUUUGCCCUGCCUCUUUUGUUUCCAUUUUCUAAUGCCAGUGCUUACUGUGAUCUUUUGUUGUAGAAUCAAAUCCUUAGAGAGUUUUAGUUGGUUUUGCCCCGCCUCUUAGUUACCAUUUUUCUGCCAGUGCUUCACUGUGAUCUUUUGUUGUUAUUAAAAUCUUUAUUGUGUA